GACGAACGCUGGCGGCGUGCCUAAUACAUGCAAGUCGAGCGCAGGAAACUGACGGAACUCUUCGGAGGGAAGGCAGUGGAAUGAGCGGCGGACGGGUGAGUAACACGUAAGGAACCUGCCUCAAGGAUUGGGAUAACUCCGAGAAAUCGGAGCUAAUACCGGAUAGUUCAUCGGACCGCAUGGUCCGUUGAUGAAAGGCGCUUCGGCGUCACCUUGAGAUGGCCUUGCGGUGCAUUAGCUAGUUGGUGGGGUAACGGCCCACCAAGGCGACGAUGCAUAGCCGACCUGAGAGGGUGAUCGGCCACACUGGGACUGAGACACGGCCCAGACUCCUACGGGAGGCAGCAGUAGGGAAUCUUCCACAAUGGACGAAAGUCUGAUGGAGCAACGCCGCGUGAGUGAUGAAGGUUUUCGGAUCGUAAAACUCUGUUGUAAGGGAAGAACACGUACGAGAGGUAAUGCUCGUACCUUGACGGUACCUUACGAGAAAGCCACGGCUAACUACGUGCCAGCAGCCGCCGUAA
rnacentral:rRNA from 1 species